UUAUCGAGCAGACUUCUCUGUUUCAGAAUCUUGUAGACUUCAGCCGAAGUCUGAGGACCUUGUAGUUUUUGUCCAUUCAGCAUCUCAUUCUCCAAUUGCUCUAUGGACUAGAAGAGAGGAGACUGAUUACUUGCAUCAGAGGAAAUACUGCUGCAGUACUAGCAGUUACCGAGCAGAUUGGAAAGCUGGCCUGUGAACUACGCGUUUUGUCCGUGCUCACUCAAUCCUACAGUGGUAGGACUAAUAUUAGACCACGUGGCUUACAGAAGACUCAGCUCUAGAAAUAGCAAGCAGAGAUAUGCUGAUUUAUGCUGGGGAGGAGGAUGGCACAUUAUGUAUCAGUAUUCGACACAGUUGGCUGUUUGAAAUUGCGUGACAAGAGAGGAGCAGAAGUCCCAGAAUGAGCAUAAUCAAGGCCUGAGCUGAAGAGGAAUUGUGGCUCACCAUCAUAAAUAUGUAUUAAUAAGAAAAGUUAUUUUUACACAUAAACACUAAGACUUGAGAUCUAAACUCAU